GACGAACGCUGGCGGCACGCCUAACACAUGCAAGUCGAACGGACUUAAAGGAGCUUGCUUUUUUAAGUUAGUGGCGGACGGGUGAGUAACACGUGAGCAACCUGCCUCUGAGAGGGGGAUAGCUUCUGGAAACGGAUGGUAAUACCCCAUAAAAUAUAAAUAUCGCAUGAUAGAUAUAUCAAAGAAAUCCGCCCACAGAUGGGCUCGCGUCUGAUUAGAUAGUUGGUGAGGUAACGGCUCACCAAGUCGACGAACAGUAGCCGGACUGAGAGGUUGAACGGACACAUUGGGGCUGAGACGCGGCCCAGACUCCUACGGGAGGCAGCAGUGGGGAAUAUUGCACAAUGGAGGGAACUCUGAUGCAGCGAUGCCGCGUGGAGGAAGAAGGUUUUCGGAUUGUAAACUCCUUUUAUCAGGGACGAUAAUGACGGUACCUGAAGAAAAAGCUCCGGCUAACUACGUG
rnacentral:rRNA from 1 species